GGGGGUGUAGCUCAUAUGGUAGAGUGCUAGCUUCACAUGCGAGACGCACGGGGUUUGAUUGCCUGCACCUCCA
rnacentral:tRNA from 1 species